UCUUAAUUAACCUAGAUGAGUAUUUAGAACUUUUUCUUAUUUUUGAGUUUGUAAAAAUUAAAUCUUUCAAGUAAGGUGAACGAUUUUGCUGUGUUUAAUUUAUACAAAAUGUCUCUUUAAAGUUUCAUUAACUCAAAAUCUUUCAGCCCAGUGAUUUUGCGUGUGACGUCAUCCAGGUUCACGUACGUUCUCGUGCUUCAUUCGUUUUUUCAAGAUGGCGGAUCGGCCUCGCUUCACACUACAAAUUGAAGGUCGGUUGUUGCUGACUACAGAAAGAUUCUUAUAUGGAGGCAUGUAAAAGCAAGGAAAGUGAAACUUCAGCUAGACCUUGAGUUCAGUUUACAAUAUGAAGAUCCUGAUAUCAACAUCUGAUCUGAUCAACACCUGAUUUUCAUCUGAGCUGCAGAGUACCAACAUGUUACAAAUGAGAAUUUUCCCCACAAAUUCUUUGGACAACUGCACCAUCACCUAUUUCAUUUGAUGACAAUUUUAAGGCAAACAGCAUCCAAAACUGACAAGACAGCAGAUACCCUGGCUAAUCUUUUGAAGGUUUAUGAUGAGCAGGUAU